rnacentral:lncRNA from 1 species
AUGGUCUAUAUGCAAGCUCUUAAAUUCAAUGCAGUAUCUGUGCAGCAUUCAGUAAAUGUGUUUUACAGUACAGUCACACAGAUCCAUGUCUGCAUUUACUACUGUUUACUACUAUGGUCCUCAAUUAUACAGUUGUUACAGAGUUUUGAACUCUCAUGUAUUCUCAGGCUGCCUUCAUCCGUUACUUGGGUGAAGUCCCUCCAGCCAGGACAGGAGAAACUGGCCCGCCCUCAAAAAUCAGAGACACAGCCACCUCCACACCAGACCAGACCUGACCUGGUCAGGACAAUAUUUCACACUGAGGGCUCCUUCUCCUGAGAAACCUACCACCACUUCAGCAGCACUACAAGGCCGCAGACCCUCUGCUGCCCAGCCGCCUCCUCUUCCUGCACUACGGCGCACUCCCUGGACCACAGAGGAACGCAACAGGAGCAGGAGAGGACCCGCUGCCUGGGAAAAACAUUAUUGUACACCUGGAGCAGGUGUGGACAACCAAAGAGGAUGGACACUGGUCAAACUUGCAUCGCAUAUGUGACACACUAUGAAAGUCUGGAGGACUGGAAAGAGGAGCAACAGCUGAAAAGAAAAAAGACAGAGGACUAAAGGUGCCACAAAAGGACCUGCUGAGAUCAUUUCAGUGAUCCUCUUGUUAACACAAGUGAGAGUGUUGACGAGCACGAGGGCUGGAGAUCAUUCUGUCAUGCAGAAAUGAUUGUUCUGCCUCUGUUAACCAUUCUUACCUGCAAGGAAACUCGUGCAGUCAUCAUUGUGUUGCAUAAAAAGGGCUUCACAGGCAAGGAUAUUGCUGCUACUUAGAUUGCACCUAAAUCAAGCAUUUAUCACAUAGACCGUUGCCAGGACUGUCUCCCAAAGAUGAUUGAGCUGAGGGAGUUGGUCAGAAUUUGUUUCUUUGUCAGUUUUUGUUUGUCCACUCGGCUUUUGAGGAAUGACCACAAGUUCCCAGGAUUAAGUUUCCUUGCCAUGCACCAAAAAUUUCAAUGUUUUGUUCCCUGGGCCACUUAGUUAUCACUUUGGCCUUCCAUCGUGCUGUAAAAGGCAUUGUUCUACACCAAACUGUUCUUGGAUGGUUAGUUGCUGUGGGAGGAUGUUUUGGUACCAUUCUUUAUUCAUGGCUGUGUUUUUAGGCAAAUUUGU